rnacentral:snRNA from 1 species
GUGCUCACUUCAGCAGCACAUAUACUAAAAUUGGAACAAUACAGGGAAGAUUAGCAUGACCCCUGUGCAAGGGUAACAUGCAAAUUCAUGAAGCAUUCCAUAUUUUU